rnacentral:rRNA from 1 species
CGGAGGAAAAGAAACCAACAGGGAUUGCCCUAGUAACGGCGAGUGAAGCGGCAACAGCUCAAAUUUGAAAUCUGGCGUCUUUGGCGUCCGAGUUGUAAUUUGCAGAGGGCGCUUUGGCAUUGGCAGCGGUCCAAGUUCCUUGGAACAGGACGUCACAGAGGGUGAGAAUCCCGUACGUGGUCGCUAGCCUUUACCGUGUAAAGCCCCUUCGACGAGUCGAGUUGUUUGGGAAUGCAGCUCUAAAUGGGAGGUAAAUUUCUUCUAAAGCUAAAUACUGGCCAGAGACCGAUAGCGCACAAGUAGAGUGAUCGAAAGAUGAAAAGCACUUUGGAAAGAGAGUUAAAAAGCACGUGAAAUUGUUGAAAGGGAAGCGCUUGCAGCCAGACUUGCCUGUAGUUGCUCAUCCGGGUUUUUACCCGGUGCACUCUUCUACGGGCAGGCCAGCAUCAGUUUGGGCGGUUGGAUAAAGGUCUCUGUCAUGUACCUCCUCUCGGGGAGAACUUAUAGGGGAGACGACAUGCAACCAGCCCGGACUGAGGUCCGCGCAUCUGCUAGGAUGCUGGCGUAAUGGCUGUAAGCGGCCCGUCUUGAAACACGGACCAAGGAGUCUAACAUCUAUGCGAGUGUUUGGGUGUCAAGCCCGAGCGCGUAAUGAAAGUGAACGGAGGUGGGAACCUUUCGGGGUGCACCAUCGACCGAUCCUGAUGUCUUCGGAUGGAUUUGAGUAAGAGCAUAGCUGUUGGGACCCGAAAGAUGGUGAACUAUGCUUGAAUAGGGUGAAGCCAGAGGAAACUCUGGUGGAGGCUCGCAGCGGUUCUGACGUGCAAAUCGAUCGUCAAAUUUGGGCAUAGGGGCGAAAGACUAAUCGAACUAUCUAGUAGCUGGU